UACGUAGGCAGCAAGCGUUGUUCGGAAUUACUGGGCGUAAAGGGUGCGUAGGCGGUGUUCUAAGUUUGGUGUGAAAUCUCCCGGCUCAACUGGGAGGGUGCGCCGAAAACUGGAGUACUUGAGUGCGGGAGAGGAAAGCGGAAUUCCUGGUGUAGCGGUGAAAUGCGUAGAGAUCAGGAGGAACACCUGCGGUGUAGACGGCUUUCUGGACCGUAACUGACGCUGAGGCACGAAAGCGUGGGGAGCAAACAGG
rnacentral:rRNA from 1 species